rnacentral:misc_RNA from 1 species
AUGAAUAAACUACGCAACUUCUUAACACUAUCUUUUGAAGCUGCCAUUAAACUUUUUACAUUUUGCCUAGUUACGUAUGAACGACGAAUUAUGUCAUCAUUGCCAACCGAACAAUUUUCUAAAGUCAAUGUUUCAGACUUUGAAAGAGACAAUGCAAGAUCAUGCACAAGGUCAUGCAUCUUGCACCAUAUAAUAUUCCUAAAAUCAUCCAUUUCCACAUCUUGCAAAAAGGAGUUCUGAAGUAAGGCAUUAAAAUACAUGUUGCCCUCAUCUUCAUUAGAUGACCCAAGAAGACCUUCAGCCAUCCAAAGCUGAAUUAAUUGUUCUUUUUCAAUCGUAAAAUCUUUUGGGAAAAUUGAACAGUAUGCGAAACAUGAUUUCAGGUAUGAAGGCAAGUGAUCAAAACUUAG